rnacentral:tRNA from 1 species
GACUUUGUGGUGUAGUGGUGAGCACACUCGGCGCAUAUUCGUGAGGUCUGUGGUUCGAAACCCGGCGAGGGCA